rnacentral:rRNA from 1 species
UACGUAGGGUGCGAGCGUUGUCCGGAAUUACUGGGCGUAAAGCGUGCGUAGACGGUUAUGUAAGUCGGGUGUGAAAGCCCCGGGCUCAACCUGGGAAUUGCAUUCGAGACUGUGUAGCUAGGGUACGGAAGAGGGAAGCGGAAUUUCAGGUGUAGCGGUGAAAUGCGUAGAUAUCUGAAGGAACACCAGUGGCGAAAGCGGCUUCCUGGUCCAGUACCGACGUCAGGCACGAAAGCGUGGGGAGCAAACAGG